rfam:Triticum aestivum genome assembly, contig: Triticum_aestivum_CS42_TGACv1_scaffold_441828_5DL
AUAUUACUCCCUCCGUCCGGAAAUACUUGUCAUCAAAAUGACUAAAAGGGAAUGUAUCUAGAUGUAUUUUAGUUCUAGAUCAUCUAUUUUUAUCCAUUUUGAUGACAAGUAUUUUCGGACGGUUGGAGUACUUA